rnacentral:rRNA from 1 species
UACGGAGGGUGCGAGCGUUGUCCGGAAUCAUUGGGCGUAAAGGGCGCGUAGGUGGCCUGGCAAGCGUGCGGUGAAAGCUCGGGGCUCAACCCCGAGUCGGCCGUGCGAACUGCUGGGCUCGAGCACUGUAGAGGCAGGCGGAAUUCCGGGUGUAGCGGUGGAAUGCGUAGAGAUCCGGAAGAACACCGGUGGCGAAGGCGGCCUGCUGGGCAGUGGCUGACACUGAGGCGCGAAAGCGUGGGGAGCGAACAGG